AGUAAACAAUUUAGUGAAAUUAACCUCAAUUAAUUGUAUUUUGUAUAUUUGUUAAGAAACAUAUAAAAAGGCACUAAAACAAAAAUAAUGUUUAUAAUUUAAAAAGGCAUUUUGCUUUCUUCCAUUAUUAAUAAAAUAAAAAUACACAGGAUUUGCAGCUAAUUACUAUUGGUGGAGUUCUUGUAUAGUUUACUGGUUCACCAUUACAAUUUCGGAAAUUAAAAGUUAUCAAAAAUAAUGAGCGGACUAUUGAAGGCUUUAUUCAUUAUAUUCUAUCAGCCCUAUUCAAACUUCAAUAACUUCUGAGUCAAUAAAAAUGAUCCGACUGUGGCAUUCAAGGCAAAAGGAUCAGAACAAAUUCGUCCGCUAACAAGUCGUAACGUAUACAAAGAUCCGCAGACUUCUAGAAUUGUCUAGAUUGUAAUCAUUCAUCACUUCCUCUCUGACCACAGAAGGAUCAAAUCAAGAAACGGCAUGGAGCCGGGGCUAAAAAGGGGGGUGGAGUCCGGCACUGUAGUGCCGUUGGUACCAAUCAUCAUACACGAAGG